rnacentral:rRNA from 1 species
UACAGAGGCCUCAAGCGUUGUUCGGAGUUACUGGGCGUAAAGGGUGCGUAGACCGUGGGGUAAGUUUGCCGUGAAAUCUUCAGGCUCAACCUGAAAACUGCGGCAAAAACUGCUCUGCUAGAAGUAUGGAAGGGGAACUGGAAUUUUCGGUGUAGCAGUGAAAUGCGUAGAUAUCGAAAAGAACACCAGCGGCGAAAGCGAGUUCCUGGACAUUACCUGACGUUGAGGCACGAAAGCUAGGGGAGCAAACGGG